AAACCGUCCCUUAAGUUUUGUAACUGUAGCAAUUUUGGCCCCCAAAACCAAUUUUUGGUAAAAAAAAAAAAAAACACGUGGCACCUCAUUUUGGGUGCCACGUCAACGUAGAUCUAUUCAAAAUUGAUCUUGGGGGCCAAAACUGCCACAUAUGCAAAACUUAGGGGGUGGUUU
rnacentral:pre_miRNA from 1 species